rnacentral:rRNA from 1 species
CGUAACCAGGUCUUCCGUAGGUGAACCUGCGGAGGGAUCAUUA